rnacentral:lncRNA from 1 species
UUGCUGUGAUAUGUUUGCAUCCUGAGAGCUAGGAUGGUAUAUGUUAGAGACCUGAUUGAGAUCGGUAUCCUGAGAGAUAGGGAGAUGCUAUGCUAGUGACCUGUUAGGUCGGUAUCCUGGUUAGGAUGAUGAUAUGUUAUGUGAUCUGUUUGAUCUGCUUGUUGACUGUGAAUUGCUAUAUGAUUGUAUGUAUAUGUGCACAUGGUUGUUUGGACUGGAGUUGGGUUGAGGCGGGUCCUGCUUUGUGCUGUAGGCCAAGAUACCCAGGGCGGACCGGUUGUCCCGAAGGCCCAGCGAGCGGUCCGGAUAGGCUGUAGGCCCCAAGAGGGCGGACCAGACGUGCCGAGGCUCGGAGAGUGGACCAGGCNNNNNNNNNNNNNNNNNNNNNNNNNNNNNNNNNNNNNNNNNNNNNNNNNNNNNNNNNNNNNNNNNNNNNNNNNNNNNNNNNNNNNNNNNNNNGCAGCGGCAGGGGGAGGAGCUGGUUGGGGCUUUCAGUAUCCGGACUUCGCUAAUACGAAGCCUCCCACCUUAGAUGGAGUUCAGGAGCCGAUCGUCGCUAUGAGAUGGUUAUCAGACGUGGAGGGGUGUUUCUUCACGUGUUCAUGCCCUNACUGUAGACUCAGAGAGUGGACCAGGUGGAUUGAAGGCCCGGUGCGGGCGGACCAAUCGCACUGCAGACUCGAUGUAUGUGGCUAGACUCAGAGGGUGGACUAGGUGGAUUGAAGCCCCGGUGUGGGCAGACCAAUUGCACUGCAGACUCAAUGUAUGUGGCUAGACUCAGAGGGUGGACCAGGUGGACUGUAGGCCGGCGGACCAGUCACCCAGUAGACCCGAAGUGUAUGGUUGUUCUGUGAUCGGNNNNNNNNNNNNNNNNNNNNCACAGUAGACCCGAAGUGCAUGGUUGUUCUGUGAUCGGAUAUGUUAUGGCAUGUUAUGCGUGUAUGGUAUAUGUGGUUGGUAUUUUGGGGAUAUCUCACUAAGCUUUCGGGCUUACAGUUGUGGUUUUAUGUUUUUCAGGUUCUUCAGGUGGUCGUGGCAAGGCGAAGGCGUCAUCGUACCGCUCCUCAUGAUUUUGUAGUGUUGUGAUUCUGGGAACACAUUAAAUGUUUUGUACUGAAAAAAAUUUUGUAAAGAUUUUUUGGUAUCGAGAUGUUUUUGAAAAAAAAUUAAAAUUGGUUGUAUUUUUCGGUUGUCACAAGUUGGUAUCAGAGCCUUGGUUUGAGUGAAUUGGAGAAACAUUCGUGUGAGUCCAGUUUCAAAUCGAGGAGAGUUUUCAAAAGAGUAUUUAAAAUGGUUUUCAAAAUGAGUAAGGGAGGACGCGGAGGUACGAUCAGCCGGAGCCAGUAAGUAACCCCAAAAUACCAUGCAUGUUAUUUGUUUUUGAGCUUUGAUAGAACAGCAUGCUAGUGAUAGGCUAGGGAUCUUCAGGAUUUCANCCUUGAGGAUCACAGGUGGAGGUCAGGGUGGAGCGAAUCCCCCAAGGGCUCAGGGUCAUGCUUUUCAGCUUGUAGCAGAGGAGGUCGGGGCAGUGCCAGAGACAGCUGCGGGUAUGUUUCUUUCUUGAUGUCUUGUUAUCUUGUGAUUAUUGUGUUGUAUUGUUUUGUGCUGGUAUCUUUGUGUGGUUUUCGAUGUGGUAUUCGUCGUUUCGCGGGUUGUGGGUUGGUUAUGGGCUUUUGUUGGGGAAAUUCGUCGGUUAUCUUCCAUGAGAGUUUUAGUAGGAACCUGGCAUGGGUUUGAAGGUCGGGUAGCAUCGGCUUUCCGAGGAGUGGUUAGAUGCAGUCUGAGUUUUCUUUCGAGCGGGUUGAUCGGUGUUGAUGUGAGAUCUCGAUAAGGUUGUUUAUACUUGUGGGAAGCAGUCCGCAUGUAAGUGUUUUCCUUGUGCAGAGAUGUUCUGGGAGGUCGGUGAUGGCGACCGGUGGUUGUUAAUCAGUGCUUCAAGUGGGGGAGAAUUGGAGAAUUCUCCGGGAGAUCAAUGGGUAUUUGAGGGUGCUUAGCUGUUGGGAUUCAGCAAGCGUUCUAUCAGCCCAGAGUAUAGGCUGAUAGAAGCAAGUGUCGGGCAUGCGGGGCGGGAUACAGACCUAGGGCAUUUGAUUGUGGAGGGCCUGGAGCAGACCGGGAUCGAGCAUGUGCAAUUAAAACAGAGUUCGGAACCCUUAAAGGACUAGAACAGUACGCAUGAGAGGAUUCCGAGAGUGAUAGCUCGGAAUGAUGAAUGCUAGUUGAGCAGUCCGGAUAGACUGAAGGCCGGUAGGCGUACCAGUCAGGCCGAAGGCUCGGAGAACAGUCCAACCAAACUGAAGGCAAUGAGGGCGGUCCAGAUUGGCUGAAGGUUCUGAGAGUGGUCCAGAUGGGCUGAAGGCCUGGUGAGGCGGUCCAGUCAUGCUGAAGACUCUGCAGGUAUUGUUGGAUCGGUUCGAGGAUAUGGAUUGUGUAUGUUGCAGUGUGAUUGCUUUAGAAGGUCUGGCCCCGGGUAGUGAUCUUGAUUAGUUGAGAGAGUGCAUGGGCUUGAGAGUCCCUGUGAUGAGAGUCAGAGUAUGUGUGUUGGAUGGAUAGCGGUUACGCUAUAAAAAGGGUGGUGUAGCGUUGGGCGAGCACCGUGGCACUUGUCGGAGUGACAAUGUGCCUAAGUGGAUUCCUUGGUAAAGGAAGAGAGAGAGGUAAGAGGUGUGUAACUCCGAGAGGGAGUGCAAGUUCACGGAAGUGAAAGCGGCAGAGCAGAGUUAUGAUUAGAGUAUUUCGAGUAUGGUUCUUGAGCAGCGUGUUUGCGACAGUGGGAUAAAAGCUCAUCCGGUUUGGGAUGUCUGCUGAGGUCGCGGAGGGAAUUCCGCAAGUGUGGAGCCAAGAGGCUCGGAAGGGAUGCAGGGAGAGAGGCUUGGACUCUCAGUGUGAUUCUGAUCAGGGUAUGGGGUAUGUAUUAGUGGUUCAUCCCGGGGGAGGUUUGAGGAUAUCAUCAGCGUGUUGGGUUUUCCCAACCUAACGGUGCUAGAGCUAGUUCAGCAUGUGUAUGUGAUCGCAAGAGGAGAACUCGUGGGAGUUGCUCUGAGAUAGAGAAUGGGUAUUUCCGUCGUCAUGGAAUGGAUAGAGUGGGAUUCGGAUCGGGGAUCCGAUGGUUCUUAGUUUUCUAACCCAUAUGAGUCGAGUGAUGGUUGUGAUUUGGAGCAGUGUUGCAUCAUGAGUAGUACUCAGUUGUUAACUCGAGUUAUCAGAGGGUGAAAUCGGUGCCCGGUUUGAGACGGUGGUCAGGACACCGUAAGGAAAGAGAAAGUGUGUUUGAGUUUCGAUGGGUAUGCCUUGAGGGACUUGGCCCGGGUAAGGCCAGGUGGCGCAUUGUGGGGGUAUCUUUGGGAUUGAAUUGCUGUAGGCUUCGAGGACGAAGCCUAAUUUAAGUAGGGGAGAAUUGUAACAUCCUGAAAUAGCAAGAGUAGGGUUGAAGGGCUAAAAGUGUUAAUUGGGAAAGNNNNNNNNNNNNNNNNNNNNNNNNNNNNNGAGUAGAGUCGCGACUUGGUCGCGUGUUAAGUAGCCGACUCGGCGAGUCAAUGAGAUGGACUCGGUAAGUAGGCGCUGAGUGGAGAAAACCCUAAUUCUCGGGGUUGAGCCCUAUAUAAAGAGCUUUAUGUUUCCUCCCCAGCUUCUUUAUCACCCCCUUGAGUCCCAGAAACCCUAAAUCGUGGAGAAGCACCAUUGUUGAGUGGAUUGGAGCUUGGAGAAGUAAUUGUUGAAGAAAGUUUGGGAGUUUGAAGGUGUGGAGCAAGGGGCAUUGCUUGGAUUCGAGUUUCCUUGCAGUUUGGGCGUUCUUUUGAGGUAAUAUCUCGUUCUUAGGCUAUUGUUGUCUUGUUUCUUCAUUUUGGGGAUUGUGGGAAGCUUAUCUUGGGCUAUAUUGGAGUCUAGAGGUUAGAUCUGAGGUUGCUACCUCAGAUCUGAGAUGGAGAAGAAUCAGAGAGGAUGAAAGUCCCUUUGUUGGAGUGUUUAGUGAAGCCUUCAUGUCCCAAACCCUAACCCAAAGUGCAAAAAGCCUAGAUCUCGUCGGAUUCACGUAAAGUUUGCUACUUUACGUGAUGAAUGGGUUGUAGGAAGCUAGAUCUAUGUUUUGGAUCAAUUGCAUGGCCUGGAGUGCUUCUGUAUGGAUUCAGACCGAUGGUACUCGGCGAGUCACAUGGGUGUACUCGACGAGUUGCUUGAAGAUGAGCUGGGACUCGACGAGUUGGAAGAACAACUCGGCGAGUUGGAUGAAGAUGGCCUGGAACUCGGCGAGUUGUAUGAACAACUCGACGAGUAGGUUGAAGAUAGCCUUAGACUCGGCGAGUCUGUUCUUGGACUCGGCGAGUCUUGUCGAAGUGUCNAAUAUUUUCUGGUUGAGUCGAGAAUCGGCGAGUCAAGGGAUGACUCGGUAAGUUGUGGGCGAGUGGACUCAGAGUUGUUGGACUCGGCGAGUCUCGGGGUGACUCGGCGAGUUAGGAUGCGGAUUAAGUGAAGUUCUGAGUAUGGGAACUCGGCGAGUCAUCGGGUUGACUCAGCAAGUAGAGUCAGUCAGGGGUUGACUUUGAUCUUGUCUUUGACCAAGGGUUGACCAGUGGUUUCCAGGGGCAUUUUGGUAAUUGUUGAUUAUUGUUUUGAGUUCAGUGCAUUGGUGGUUGUCUAGUGGUGGAGAUUGUAUCAGUGAUCGGAGCAGCUUGGGUUAUCUGUUCAGUCGGCAGUUUCGAGGUAACUUAUCCUCAUUAUAUCAACAGGGUCUACGGCACCAAGGCCGGCCCUUAUCGGAUUGAGAUCCGGGUAGUUGUUGUUAUGUUGUUGCUGUGAUAUGUUUGCAUCUUGAGAGCUAGGAUGGUAUAUGUUAGAGACCUGAUUGAGAUCGGUAUCCUGAGAGAUAGGGAGUUGCUAUGCUAGUGGCCUGUUAGGUCGGUAUCCUAGUUAGGAUGAUGAUAUGUUAUGUGAUCUGUUUGAUCUGCUUGUUGACUGUGAAUUGCUAUAUGAUUGUAUGUAUAUGUGCACAUGGUUGUUUGGA